GGCUGGUCCGAAGGUAGUGAGUUAUCUCAAUUGAUUGUUCAUAUUGAGUUACAGAUCGAACUUGUGCUAUUCUUCCCCCUUUCUUACUACUGCAUUUGACUAGAGAA
rnacentral:Y_RNA from 1 species